GUGGAGUAGCAGCAGAAAUGGGCGCUCCAUUUUCUCUCACUUCCUAAUCCUCUCCAACGCUCCUCCGCGCUCCAUCGUCUCACUGCCGCUCGGUGUUCGUCUCGGCAAAUGCUUGAGCAGAGCUGCUGGAAUCCACGCGUCGCGGCGGAUGAGGAUCGGCGAGAGUCUGUGCUGCCUCUGCAGCCUUGCAGUGUCGGAGCAUUCGACUUCGCAGACUUCGUCUAGCUCCGUGAAAAUACAUAUGAGACACUCUUUUUCAUUGUGGACCUCCAUGCAGUACGCUCGGUUUCCUACAUGAUUUGAGUAUCAUACAUUCUGUAUUAUGAUAGCUCCCUGUAUGAAUAAUUUUAUUAAAACACAGUGCUUUGAAACUUAUGAUAUGGGAGUAUAUAUUUUUAAAGUAGGUUAAACGCGGUUGAUUUACUUUAAACUGAUAGAUAACUUUGCCGUAUGAUGCACAAGAAUUAUCUAAAGCUACUACUGCAGCUCUUUAUUUAGCAUGUGGUGUGGAUCCUUCCAAGGUUUCAUGUUGCGGAGAAGAGGUUAAAGCUAAAGCAAGAACUCGGCUCACUUAUCUAUCGUUGGCGAUUCAACCUCAUGGGAGAGGAGGUUUCACUUUCUUGGACUGAAGACGAGGAGGGGAUAUUCAGGGACAAUAUGAAGCUGUAUGCUACUUUCUUGAGCAAGUUCUGGAACAAUGCUUGGAGGUUCUUGCCUUCCAAACCGAGGGACAAUUUGGUUAGCUACUACUUCAACGUCUACCUUGUCCAGCGCAGAAGCUAUCAGAACCGGGUAAAUCGGGAAGAUGUUGAUAGUGAUGAUGACGAAAAAGUUUGUGGGUUGAUUGGUGGCUGCUUUGGACAUAAAGCACUUUAUAUACCUCGGCCUAGUUCCAUUUCGUGUACACUCAACACGGAGUCGACAGAAUUCGUGUAGUCGAAUCACAAGUGAUUUGAUGGUUGUUGAAGUUAUGGAAGUGGAAGUUCCAACAUAUUUUGAUCAAGUUUUGGUUGGGUUGUAAAUACCUCUGUAGUGAAGCCAAGUUAACCAGUUUUGGUUUCAGUUGCUUCUUGUUAGCAAGGCUCUGUCUCUCUCUGGAUCACAUAAGCUCAUCAAUUUUUAUUUUUUAAGCAGGAGUUUGAUAACUCCAACCUAGGUGGGAAUCAGCAACCAAACUAAACAUAUGUUACCUUUUAUCAUUGGAAGACUUGUGUGAAAAUCCUUGUUCAGAGACUGGUUAAGAUUUGGAUCCAAACACAUAUUCAAUGGCAUCAAUGUGAGUGUCAUCGAAUCGAGCCAAACUGAAUAAUGGUGUUCUCAAAUUUGGUUUGUUUAGUGUCGAGCCGAAUCCCGAACUUUAUUUACCGAAUACUUUGAAGUUUACAAGCUUAAUCGAGCUUAUAUGAACUUUCUAAAUUUAAAUUUAUAUUCAAUAUAUUUAUUAUCUUCUUUUGAAAAUAAA